UCCAUUUAAUAUUCAUAAGGAAUAUUAUCUUCGUUUAAUAUUCGUAAGGAAUAUUAUUUUUCUUCAACAGUCGUAAGGGAUAUUAUUUUUGUUCAGUAUUCAUAAGGAAUAAUAUUUUAUUCCAUACUCUGUAGUAUGUGAGUAAAAUUAUUUCAUCUCGUAUUCCUGAUUAUACCCUCAUCUUGUUAAAGUAUUGCUUCCAUACUCCGUGAAAUUAGUAGAAUAUCCUUGAAAUUUGUGUUUCAUCUAGUAUCGUUUCACAAGGAUAUUUUCUGUACAUUCUUGUUAAAUUUUAAGCUUUUCAUGCUGGAGUACUAUCCAUGAGUACUAUUCAUUUAUACGGUACUAUUCACA
rnacentral:lncRNA from 1 species